CCCUUAGAUGUUCUGGGCUGCAUGCGUGCUACACUGAUGCAUUCAGCAAGUAUACUUCCUUUGCCGAGAGGCCUGGGCAAUCUUGUAAACAUGCAUCGUGAUAGGGAUAGAUUUUUGCAAUUAUUAAUCUUUAACGAGGAAUUCCUAGUAAACGCAGAUCAUCAAUCUGCAUUGAUUACGUCCCUGCCCUUUGUACACACCGCCCGUCGCACCUACCGAUUGAAUGGUCCGGUGAAGCCUCGGGAUUAUGAACAAUGCCUUUGUUGGCAUUGUUUGUGAGAACUUGUCUAAACCUUAUCAUUUAGAGGAAGGUGAANUCGUANCA
rnacentral:rRNA from 1 species